rnacentral:rRNA from 1 species
AGCGAACGCUGGCGGCGGGCCUAACACAUGCAAGUCGAACGAAGUCUUCGGACUUAGUGGCGGACGGGUGAGUAACACGUGGGAACGUGCCUUUAGGUUCGGAAUAACUCAGGGAAACUUGUGCUAAUACCGAAUGUGCCCUUCGGGGGAAAGAUUUAUCGCCUUUAGAGCGGCCCGCGUCUGAUUAGCUAGUUGGUGAGGUAAAGGCUCACCAAGGCGACGAUCAGUAGCUGGUCUGAGAGGAUGAUCAGCCACAUUGGGACUGAGACACGGCCCAAACUCCUACGGGAGGCAGCAGUGGGGAAUCUUGCGCAAUGGGCGAAAGCCUGACGCAGCCAUGCCGCGUGAAUGAUGAAGGUCUUAGGAUUGUAAAAUUCUUUCACCGGGGACGAUAAUGACGGUACCCAGAGAAGAAGCCCCGGCUAACUUCGUGCCAGCCGCCGCCGUAAUAC